UAGUGGUGCCCCAAGACAUUUUCAAAAGAUCCAUGAGGUCAAAGCUAUUUUCACAAUACUAAGGCUUUACUCACCUUUUUUCACCCUUAUUCUCUCACAAGUAUACUGUGUAGUUUUCCAGAGGCUAAAUGACAUGUGACACCGAAGCCAACUAAAUAUCAAAGAAGAUAUGAGUAUCCACCUGCAAAAUUGGAUGGAAUCCAAUUUCAUCUAUUAAGAUACCAAAAUAAUUUCCCUUUCUCACCUUGAAAUGACCUGAGCUAACAGAAGAAAUUUUCCUGCAUUGCUUAUGAGGAUCAUACAUAAAUCAAAAUGACCUGUUUGGAGGUUGCUGACAGUUCAGGCAUGGUGUCGGUGAUUAUGUGGAAUGCCCCCCGGUCCUGAGUGGUUUAAAAUUUUGCG